ensembl:rRNA 5S_rRNA 5S ribosomal RNA
AUCUACGACCAAACUGCCCUGAUCCUGGAAGCUCAGCAGGGUCAGGCCUGGCCAGUACUUUGAUGGGAGACGGCCUAGGAAUUGCGAGUGCUGUAGGCA